UACGGGGGGGGGCAAGCGUUUGUUCGGAAUUACUGGGCGUAAAGGCUCGUAGGCGCCAACUAAGUCAUACGUGAAAUCCCUCGGCUUAACCGGGGAACUGCGUCUGAUACUGGAUGGCUUAGUUCGGGAGAGGGAUGCGGAAUUCCAGGUGAGCGGUGAAAUGCGUAGAUAUCUGGAGGACACCGGUGGCGAAGGCGGCAUCCUGGA
rnacentral:rRNA from 1 species